UCAAACAACAACAACAGGGUCCAAACAACAACAACAGGGUCCAACAACAACAACAGGGUUCGACAACAACAACAACAGGGUCCAACAGGUUGAAACCUUUAUCUCAUAGUGUUGUUUACUCACCGGUUACCGGACGGAGGACCAUCCCGUACAGACACAACGACAGCAUCGUGAUUUGUUUCAGCAACGCCAUUGACUUCACUCUGUUGUACAUUUUUUUGAUUUAACUCCCAACAAAAAAACUUAAUGUAUUUAUAUGUCUUUCACGUCAGCUCAAUAAGUUGAAGUGAAAUGUCCAGUAUGGAAGAAGACAUUGAAAAGUAAAUGAUCAGUGAUGAAGACGGCGUCAGAUUGUCCUGCUAACAGCUAGCUAACGUUAGCCAACACAACGUUAGCUGAAAAUUACCUCACUAACAUUAACAAUACACUGGUAGCGUUACUACAGGUAGCUAACUAUGUUAAAAUAAACUUGUUUGGGGGGGGGGGGGACGGUCUUAUGCCUACAAAGUCCAACUUUGCCGUAUUUUUUGUCCCCCUUUUCAAGGUAACUAGCUAACGUUAGCUAGCUAGCUCCUUUGCUAACGUUAGGCAGCCUUUGAUAGCUAACCGUCCAAGCUAGCUAGCUAGCUAACGUUAGGUAUUUAUUAUAUACAAAAAGGUCCGUCAAAUCCAAAUUCCAUGUUGACUAUUCCCAUUCCAUAGGUCUUUGUCUUAACAACGUCCAUCCAUUCAGGGUUUAUUUGGUCUAUUCAGGGGUUUAGUAAAUAGGUUUUAGUCCCGUCGGGGUGGAUAGCCGUCUCUUUCUGCAUUUGGCAUUGACCGUGGAGGCUCCGGGCAGGGCAGGGCACCGGACAGCGAGGCUCCGGGCAGCGAGGCACCGGACAGCGAGGCACCGGGCAGGGCAGGGCACCGGACAGCGAGGCUCCGGGCAGGACAGGGCACCAGACAGCGAGGCUCCGGGCAGCGAGGCACCGGACAGUGAGGCGCAGAGCAGGGCAGGGCACCGGACAGCGAGGCUCCGGGCAGGACAGGGCACCAGACAGCGAGGCUCCGGGCAGGGCACCGGACAGCGAGGCUCCGGGCAGGGCAGGGCAGCAGACAGCGAGGCUCCGGGCAGGACAGGGCACCAGACAGCGAGGCUCCGGGCAGGGCACCGGACAGCGAGGCUCCGGGCAGGGCAGGGCAGCAGACAGCGAGGCUCCGGGCAGGACAGGGCACCAGACAGCGAGGCUCCGGGCAGGACGGCGGCGGCGGGGGGAAACGCCUGGUUGUGUCUCCACUAUCAGGUUUGGUGGAUUUGUUUGGGUGGAUGAUGAACUGGAAGCUCCCUAUCUGCAGACAGGGCUAACUACAACAAUACAUUCCUGCUGGAAGCUGUUGUUCAACUGUAUCGCCACCCUGUGGACAUAACUCAGUUGGUAGAGCACGGUGUUUGCAACGCCAGCAUGGUGUUUGCAACGCCAGGGUUGUGGGUUCGAUUCCCACGGGGGGCCAGUACAAAACAAAAACAAAAAAUAAUGUAUGAAAUGUAUUCACUACUGUAAGUCGCUCUGGAUAAGAGCGUCAGCUAAAUGACUAAAAUGUAAAAUGUCUUACAGACAGCAGGUCCAGAAAAACACUUCUACUGAAAUAUAUAUAUAGUUGUCCAUCAGAUGGCAAUAUGUCUGGUGAAAGACCCGCACACAGUUACAUCAACUCAUGUAACAACAUGCCAAAAACAAUAUUGGAAUAUGAGUCGCAUUUUCCUAGUGGCUUGUUUCUGCGUUUUCUUUUGAAUUUUCCCAUCAUGAUCCAGUGUUGUGAUGUGUUGAUGCAGACAAAUUAAUCCAUGCUUUUGUUACUUCUAGGCUGGACUACUGCAAUGCUCUACUUUCCGGCUACCCGGAUAAAGCACUAAAUAAACUUCAGUUAGGGCUAAAUACGGCUGCUAGAAUCCUGACUAGAACCAAUAAUAUUUGAUCAUAUUACUCCAGUGUUAGCCUCCCUACACUGGCUUCCUGUUAAGGAUGAGGCUGAUUUCAAGGUUUUACUGCUAACCUACAAAGCAUUACAUGGGCUUGCUCCUACUUAUCUUUCCGAUUUGGUCUUGCCGUACAUUUAAAAAUAUAUAUAUAUAUUUCACCUUUAUUUAACCAGGUAGGCUAGUUGAGAACAAGUCCUUUAUUUAACCAGGUAGGCUAGUUGAGAACAAGUUCUCAUUUACAACUGCGACCUGGCCAAGAUAAAGCAUAGCAAUUCGACACAUACAACAACACAGAGUUACACAUGGAGUAAAACAACACAUACAGUCAAUAAUACAGUAGGAAAAUAAGUCUAUAUACAAUGUGAGCAAAUGAGGUGAGAUAAGGGAGGUAAAGGCAAUAAAUAGGCCAUGGUGGCAAAGUAAAUACAAUAUAGCAAUUAAACACUGGAAUGGUAGAUUUGCAGUGGAAGAAAGUGCAAAGUAGAAAUAGAAAUAAUGGGGUGCAAAGGAGCAAAAUAAAUAAAUACAGUAGGGGAAGAGGUAGUUGUUUGGGCUAAAUUAUAGAUGGGCUAUGUACAGGUGCAGUGAUCUGUGAGCUGCUCUGACAGCUGGUGCUUAAAGUUAGUGAGGGAGAUAAGUGUUUCCAGUUUCAGAGAUUUUUGCAGUUCGUUCCA
rnacentral:lncRNA from 1 species